rnacentral:rRNA from 1 species
AUUGAACGCUGGCGGCAGGCCUAACACAUGCAAGUCGAACGGUAACAGGAAGCAGCUUGCUGCUUUGCUGACGAGUGGCGGACGGGUGAGUAAUGUCUGGGAAACUGCCCGAUGGAGGGGGAUAACUACUGGAAACGGUAGCUAAUACCGCAUAACGUCGCAAGACCAAAGAGGGGGACCUUAGGGCCUCUUGCCAUCGGAUGUGCCCAGAUGGGAUUAGCUAGUAGGUGGGGUAACGGCUCACCUAGGCGACGAUCCCUAGCUGGUCUGAGAGGAUGACCAGCCACACUGGAACUGAGACACGGUCCAGACUCCUACGGGAGGCAGCAGUGGGGAAUAUUGCACAAUGGGCGCAAGCCUGAUGCAGCCAUGCCGCGUGUAUGAAGAAGGCCUUCGGGUUGUAAAGUACUUUCAGCGGGGAGGAGGGAGUAAAGUUAAUACCUUUGCUCAUUGACGUUACCCGCAGAAGAAGCACCGGCUAACUCCGUG